CCCAAGUGCUGGUGGCCACCAUCCAACCUGGUUUUGCUCGUCCCGCUUCACAGACAGCUGGGCCCUCGGCAGAACGCUGACAGCCUGGUCUGGCCCCCAGGGAAGGAGAAGGGGCCUCUGGAGAAGCUGUGCCGGGUGGGCCUGCUGCUGGAGACAUCGAGGACGACGUCGAGGAUGACAAGCUCUCAGUUGACCUGGACGCCGGCGAGCUGAAGGGGAUGGACUUUGAUUCUGGCCCCUUCCUCCAAGCCGUGCUCCACACGCCGUUUGCAGAUGAGUCCACACCCAGGGGGUGCUCCCGGACACGGGCAUUGCACAGCCUGGCUGGGCACCGAAGGUUCCCCCUUUGCUGAUGGGGAACCUGAGGAAUUCUUCAGCCGGCUGCCAAGCUGCUUCUUGGCAGGAGGGCGGGCGGGUGCUCUGGGCUGGGUGUGAAAUGGGAGCCCGGCUCUGCCCCCAGCCUCUGCCACUGCCCCUUUGCUGGGCGGGGCUGGGGCAGGGACAGCCAGCCUGCCAAAAACAAACCCCCGUGGGGGGAGCAAAGGCGGGGCUGCAGAACACCAGCUGCUUUGGGCUGCAGGCCAGGAAAGGCUUGGGCUGCCUUGGCUUAGGAGCCUUUCUUUGGGCCAGUGCAGCAGGGCAGGGAGAAGGCCUGGGUUUUCCUCAGCUGGAGGAGGUGGGGUUUCUCUUUGGCCUGCAGGGCUUGGGCCUUCCUCAGAACCCUGACAGAAGGUUAACAUUUUACCUUUUUUUCUUGUUUCCACUUUUGGUUUGUAAUCUCUGUUCAUGAAUUUGUUGUUUGUUUUCCAGGGAAGAGUUGGAGCUGGUGCCCAGUCCGGGUUGGGAAGGGCUGGGACCAUCCCUGGAGAGGAUCUGACGUCCCCUCUGAGAAGGCUGAGGACAUCCUUUGGGACAUGCUCUUCUUGCGGCAGCAGAUCUUGUGAGACAGGACACCUCUGCCUGAUCUCCCGCGGAUCCGAGGGAUCUCUGGAUCUUCACGCCAGCACCAGGACUUUGCUGCAGAAGAGCACAGAUCCCCAGCCCAGUCUGGGACACAGAACCUGUGAAAGGGCAGAAAGAUUGUGGUGUGAAUGCAGCGCCCUCAGAGCCCUUGGUGUGAGCCCGGAAAGGAAAAUCAAGCUGAGGGACAAGAUCAGUCUAAUUUGGGGACAUUGUUGGUGGUUGGAGUUGCAGUCCUGGAAGAAAUCCCUGAGGAAAUGGUGCCCCCGGGGAGAGGAAGAGGACGAGAGCGUGGGCAGCCUGCUUCAAACAUCCCCCCCAGGAGACUUGGGAUCAGUCCCUGUGCAUCCUGUAAGAAAGAUGGACACUGGAAAUGGGAUUGUCCACAACUGAAACUUCAGAACCCUCCGAACCCUCUCGUGGCAU